rnacentral:rRNA from 1 species
AUUGAACGCUGGCGGCAGGCCUAACACAUGCACGUCGAACGAGUGGCGGACGGGUGAGUAAUGUCUGGGAAACUGCCCGAUGGCGGGGUAUAACUACUGGAAACGGUAGCUAAUACCGCCUACCAUCGGAUGUGCCCAGAUGGGCUUAGAUAGUAGGUGGGGUAACGGCUCACCUAGGCGACGAUCCCUAGCUGGUCUGAGAGGAUGACCGGCCACAGUGGGACUGAGAGACGGCCCAAACUCCUACGUGAGGCAGCAGUGGGGAAUAUUGCACAAUGGGGGAAACUCUGAUGCAGAAACGCCGCGUGCGGGAUGACGGCCUUCGGGUUGUAAACCGCUUUCAGCCAUGACGCGGGAGUGGCAGAAGAAGCACCGGCUAACUACGUGCCAGCCGCCGCGGUAAUAC